AUCAAAAACAUAGUCAGUAGAAUUUUAUUUUAAAAGAUUAUUGAUAUCUUCGGCCCGGUGUAAUUUUAUUAACGGCCGCAGUACCUUGACUGUGCUAAGGUAGCAUAAUCAAUUGGCUAUUAAUUGUAGUCUGGAAUGAAAGUAAGUAAUGAAUAGUAGCUAUAAUAAUUAGUAUUUUUUUAAUUUGAUUAUCUGGUGAAAAUACCAGUAAAUUAGAAAAAAGACGAGAAGACCCUUAGAAUUUUUAAAGAAAAGUGAAAUUUUUUCUAAAAAAUUAAAAACAGAGAAAUAGAUUACAUCCUUAAUUUUUUGUUGGGGCGACAAGAAAACAAAAACUUUAAAAAAACUUUUCUAAAAUUAUUUUUUAAAUAAAAUUUAUUUUGAAGAAAUUUAUAUGACGAAAUUUUUAUGAAUAAUUAAAUUACCUUAGGGAUAACAGCAUAAUGAUAAAUUUAUUUAGUUUGUGACCUAGAUGUUGGACUAGGAACUUUACCACUAACAGUGUAAAAAGAAUGUUCUGUUCGAACAAUAAUUUCC
rnacentral:rRNA from 1 species